UUUGGGUAUUGAGCGACCAGUUCCUUCAAUAUUGUGAACGAUGGUGACUGUAAAUCUGAAGUCGUUGUUGAUAUUCUCAGCAUUUCUACGGGUGUUUUUGAUAAUUUACGGAGAAUGGCAAGAUACCCAUAUGGAGGUUAGAUACACAGAUGUGGACUAUCUUGUUUUCUCAGAUGCAGCUGCUUUAGUAGCUGCUGGAAAAUCCCCUUAUCAAAGAUCUACAUAUCGCUACUCACCCUUAAUUGCUUUUCUUCUUGUGCCCAAUUCUUUCAUUCAUCCUUCUUGGGGAAAGUUUAUCUUCUCCGCUUCAGCAGAUCUUCUCGUGGGAUUUCUUAUCAACACCAUUUUAAAGCUAAGAGGGGUGCCUGAGAAAUUGUGCACUUACUCAGUGAUGGUAUGGCUUUUGAAUCCAUUUACCUUUACUAUUGGAACUCGUGGGAAUUGUGAGCCCAUCAUCUGCGCCAUAAUCCUUUGGAUUAUUAAAUGUCUAAUGAAUGGUCGUUUAGUACAAGCUGCAUUUUGGUAUGGGCUUGUUGUCCACAUGAGGAUCUAUCCAAUAAUUUAUGCUCUUCCGAUCAUUUUAGUUCUUGAUCCUCUGUUCUUCCAGUAUGGUACGAAACCUGCUCUUGUGAAUUGGAGUUCUAGAAAAGGCAAGUCACAGCAGACUUCCAUCUGUAAAAAGCUUGUGGAUCCUUGUUGUAUAUGCAACUUUUUAACAAGCCUUUUUACCUGGAGAAGGAUAAUGUUUGGGCUUAUUUCUGGAGCUAUGUUCUUUCUCCUUACUGGGAUUUUCUUCUUUUUAUAUGGGUGGGACUUCUUGCAUGAAGCACUGCUCUAUCAUCUCACACGUACAGACCCAAGGCACAAUUUUUCAAUUUAUUUCUACCAUAUAUAUCUGCACUAUGAACACGAGUUAUCAAACUUGGAAAAGCUCGUCUCAUUUCUGCCUCAGAUUAUGGUGCAGUCAGUUCUUGUUUCCCGCUUUGCGCAGGAUUUUCCAUUUUGCUUCUUUGUGCAGACUGUGGCAUUUGUUGCAUUUAACAAGGUUAUGACUGCUCAAUACUUUGUUUGGUUCUUCUGCCUCUUGCCGCUAAUCCUUCCAUGGACCAACAUGAAGCUCAGAGGAAAAGGAUUGGUCUGCAUCUUGUUGUGGAUGGCAGCUCAGGGUCACUGGUUAUUGUGGGGUUAUUUGCUUGAAUUUAAAGGAAAGAAUGUCUUUCUUCAACUCUGGGUAGCAGGUUUGCUAUUUUUGGCUGCAAAUACUUUUGUUCUUAUCAAUAUUAUCCAGCAACAUACAUAUAGUCCAGUCUUCCAACAUUCAUCUCAUUCAGCUUCAAAGAAACAUGUCAAACAGAGAUGAGGAAUCAGAUCAUAUACCUCCUAAAUCAAUGGAGGAGGAAUUUUCGAGCUAGUAGUGUAUUUAGCCGUGUUCGGGACUUGUAGAGCCUUCCAUCAUCAGGUACAGAUUUCACCUUCAAUGUGUAUUUGGAUGCCAAUUUUGUAGAAUUUGGAUUUGGAGGAUAAAUUGAAAGCAAGGGCAACGGCCUAGUGUUGGUCGAGGAGAAUGAAUGGUCAGUUGAAGAAAUAGGAACCAAGUGGGCACUGAAGGGAGUUAUUCUUUUUGUUGGAGUGUGAACGGGAGCCCUACUGAACAGCGGUUGAAAGUACUAUCUGUGAGCAAUAGUCUUCCAACGAGCAUAUCUGCGGUAAAAAAAGACAAGCGAUGUGUUUCACAGAAUCACCAUGCUGCUCACACUUGCCUCGCAACAUCAAUGCAGCUGUGCUUAUGUGCCUAUUGUUAAACUGAAUCAGUAGAUUUGCAUUAUCAAAACGCACCAUGAUCUAUCUUCUUCAAGGCCACAUGUAUAGUUUAUGUGCUUCACAUUCAUUGAGCCUUGGUGGUUGACAGACAUUACAAGUUUGGUUUUUAUUAGAGACCUAAGGAGCUGGGUGGUGGUUUUGAUGGAAGAGGAUAACACCUUUGUGCUUUGCUUCCUAAUAUUCGUCCUUGUUCAAUCAAGUGACAGCAAUAGGUAUGCUAUUCUACUGAAUCAGCUGUUCGGAACUUGCCUACUGGAUUAUAAGAGGAAAGAAACUGGUUAAUCAACAUGAUCAACAGUCUCUAAUUUCACUACAAUCAAUUAGAAUUAAUUUCUUGCAACAAUUAUGUGGUGAGUUCACAACUUUUUGCUUUUCAUUUCAUAAGAAAGAAAAUAUUAGACUGAGAAUUGGAGGGCUUUACCCAAAAGGGUAGCCCUUUCAAAAAUUCUCAAUGAAGGCAGAACCCAGGCCAAAGAGGGGGUUUGGAAAUAGUUUUCAACCAGCAAUAGACUGCCUCAUUGUCCCAAGCGCAAAGAUGAGUUUUCCAUCUUUCUGACCUCUCCUUUUCUGUGGGAGAGAAUAACCCUAAGCCAUAUUCGUAAACCUAAGUAAAUAGAAAAGGUUAGUCACCCAUGACUUUCCACUAAAAUGGUCAUUCUUUUUACUCUUUUGUGCAUUACCCAAAUUAAACGUUAAGCAAUUUUACCUUGACGGUAAAACUGGAGUUAAAAAGAUAAGGAUUAUAAAUUAGAUCCCAAUUUACAUCUGUUACUCUGAAGUUAGGAUAGUAGACUUGUUUGGAGAUUGUUAGUUGUUUG